CAGACUGAAGCACUGUUCCCAGCAGCAUGUGGGCUCCAAGUGCUGAGCACUGAGUGGAUAGCUGCAGAGACCUGAGGUGACACAGCCUGUCUCCAAAGGGAAACAUGGUGGCCACGUGGAGUGGACAGAGCACAGGACUCUGAGAGUCAAGAUUCUUAGCACUUGCAGAAAUGUCUUUAAUGCUGAAAAGUGAAGAAGGAGGUGGCAGGUGUGACUAACAACACAGUCCUCGUGCAUCUGCUAGGGAAUACAUUUUUCCCCCUCCAACGUAACAAAUUAGAACCCAUCUGGGAUUUGAGAAGUCUGAGCUAAGGUUUCCUGGAUCUGUUUGCCUAUGAAGCAAUAAUGAAAAGUGAAGGAGAUGAAGAAAAGUGAAAAAAAUGAUGAGUUUAAAGAACCUUGUGUGACAAGUGGAACAAAGGCUUGUGAAUUCUUAUACAUUUUUUUCUGGCAUAAGACGGUGCUGUUUAAGGAUAUGGGGAGACUGAGGAUUAAAAUAAAGACCUGAAAAUAAUUGGACUCAUU